rfam:Aedes albopictus isolate Foshan contig102676, whole genome shotgun sequence.
UAGCCUGGUGGUUAAGGCUAUGGAUCGCCAAUCCGGAGACGGCGGGUUCGAUUCCCGU